GUCGAGAUGGCUCAGUGGUUAAGAGCACUGGCUGCUCUUCCAGAGGACCUGGGUUCCAGUCCCAGCACCCACA
rnacentral:tRNA from 1 species